rnacentral:rRNA from 1 species
AUUGAACGCUGGCGGCAUGCCUUACACAUGCAAGUCGAACGGUAACGCGGGGCAACCUGGCGACGAGUGGCGAACGGGUGAGUAAUGCAUCGGAACGUGCCCAGUAGUGGGGGAUAGCCCGGCGAAAGCCGGAUUAAUACCGCAUACGACCUACGGGUGAAAGCGGGGGACCGUAAGGCCUCGCGCUAUUGGAGCGGCCGAUGUCAGAUUAGGUUGUUGGUGGGGUAAAAGCCUACCAAGCCGACGAACUGUAGCUGGUCUGAGAGGACGACCAGCCACACUGGGGCUGAGACACGGCCCAGACUCCUACGGGAGGCAGCAGUGGGGAAUUUUGGACAAUGGGGGCAACCCUGAUCCAGCCAUGCCGCGUGCGGGAAGAAGGCCUUCGGGUUGUAAACCGCUUUUGUCAGGGAAGAAACGCUCUGGGCUAAUACCCCGGGGUAAUGACGGUACCUGAAGAAUAAGCACCGGCUAACUACGUGCCAGCCGCCGCGGUAAAAC